UACGUAGGGGGCUAGCGUUGUCCGGAUUUAUUGGGCGUAAAGAGCGUGUAGGCGGCCAGGUAGGUCUGCUGUGAAAACUCGAGGCUCAACCUCGAGACGUCGGCGGAAACCAUCUGGCUAGAGUCCGGAAGAGGAGAGUGGAAUUCCUGGUGUAGCGGUGAAAUGCGCAGAUAUCAGGAGGAACACCGGUGGCGAAGGCGGAUCUCUGGGCCUGUCCUGACGCUGAGGCGCGAAAGCUAGGGGAGCGAACAGG
rnacentral:rRNA from 1 species